AAGUCGUAACAAGGUUUCCGUAGGUGAACCUGCGGAAGGAUCAUUAUUGAAUGCAAUUGGAGUCGGUUGUCGCUGGCCUCUUCACUGAGGCAUGUGCACGCCUUCUCCGUUCAUCCACACACACCUGUGCACUUGUGAGACGGAUUAACCCUUCCGAGGGGAUGCCCCGUCUAUUAUACAUAAACUCCAAUAUAUUAAAUUUGAAUGUAAUCAGAUGUAACACAUCAUUGAACUAA
rnacentral:misc_RNA from 1 species